rnacentral:rRNA from 1 species
CGGCGGACGGGUGAGUAACGCGUGGGUAACCUACCCUGUACACACGGAUAACGUACCGAAAGGUAUGCUAAUACGGGAUAAUAUAUUUGAGAGGCAUCUCUUGAAUAUCAAAGGUGAGCCAGUACAGGAUGGACCCGCGUCUGAUUAGCUAGUUGGUAAGGUAACGGCUUACCAAGGCGACGAUCAGUAGCCGACCUGAGAGGGUGAUCGGCCACAUUGGAACUGAGACACGGUCCAA